rnacentral:misc_RNA from 1 species
UUUGGUUCCAUUUGAGUUUUGCAAUAAUUCAACUUUCCAGAUGGCUCCAGUAGGGACCUCAAGGAACACAACAUCACGCAGAUCGGCUCCAUACUUGAUUACAAAUUCAUCGGGGAUAUUUAAUUUGGAGGCAUGAGGAGAUAAGAUAAUCUUGAAGAACUGAGGAGGCAUUUCCGUUUUCUUCUUCUUCACUUUGUUUUUUGCUUUUACAAAUGAAACUAUUUCUUCUCUUCUCUCAUAGAAAGAAGAGCUAAUUUGGUUUUUCUUUACUACACUUACUUCCUCUUCUUCGUAUCCCAAGUCCCAACUAAA